rnacentral:rRNA from 1 species
AUUGAACGCUGGCGGCAUGCCUUACACAUGCAAGUCGAACGGCAGCACGGGAGCUUGCUCCUGGUGGCGAGUGGCGAACGGGUGAGUAAUACAUCGGAACGUACCCUGAAGUGGGGGAUAACGUAGCGAAAGUUACGCUAAUACCGCAUAUUCUGUGAGCAGGAAAGAGGGGGAUCGCAAGACCUCUUGCUUUAGGAGCGGCCGAUGUCGGAUUAGCUAGUUGGUGAGGUAAAGGCUCACCAAGGCGACGAUCCGUAGCGGGUCUGAGAGGAUGAUCCGCCACACUGGGACUGAGACACGGCCCAGACUCCUACGGGAGGCAGCAGUGGGGAAUUUGGACAAUGGGCGCAAGCCUGAUCCAGCCAUGCCGCGUGAGUGAAGAAGGCCUUCGGUGUAAAGCUCUUCGGUGGGGAAGAAAUUGCUUCGGUUAAUACCUGGAGUAGAUGACGGUACCCGCAUAAGAAGACACCGGCUAACUACGUGCCAGCAGCCGCGGUAA